rnacentral:lncRNA from 1 species
UGAAUUUUGAGGAUAUUACCUAUGUUCUCUCAUUCUUUCCUCUUUGUUGUGAUCUUUGGCUGUCUUGUCAUUUGCAUUUUUCAUACAGACCAAUGUAACCAUGUUCCCUUUAUGUUUUCUGAGUGUCCCAUUGUUCAUCACUUUUGAGAACUAAGUAUUUAUAGAAACAGUGCUGGGGACAGAGUGAACUAAUGGUGUCUCCGUCUCAGUGGGACCAGAAUCACUGUGAGACUUUCUAACACUGUUUUCUUGGACCCAGUCACAGAGUUUCUGGAAGAGGGGCUUACACUUUUGUCCUUGGAAAAGGAGAGUCUCAUUUUGGAGAGGAAAAAAAAAGUUCUUUUUAAAAGAAACUCUCAGCUGGACAACACAUUGAUAAUUGUCAAAGCUGGGUGCGGGCACAGGAGGGUUCUUUGUGCUGUUUCUAUUGUUCUCCCCACUUUUGGAUAUGUUUGAGAAUUGCCAGAAGCAGCUAAAAAAACCAAAGUUUCUGAGAGCUCAGAGAACAAAUCAGAGUUGCUUCCUUAGGCAGAGCUGGCCAAGAAGCAGAGGUGUUGCAUUAAAUCGAUGUGUGAGGUCCAUGCCUCAUGCUGGUGGUGUUGGGCAACGAGUCAGGCUGCCUGGUGCCAGCGCUGGGCCAGAGCCUGGGGAGCCGGCCAGGACUAUGCGCCACCCUGGACCCUGGGCCAGUUCUCAUCCCAGUGGUUUCACGGCUCCUCUCUCAGUUCUGUAGGACUCCAUGGAGAGGCAAGUCCCUGGGUUUCUGUUUGUUGAGGAGACAAGUCAAGAAGAGAAGUCAUUCUUCAAGUUUCUCUCCCGGGAGACAAGAGCAGAUGGAGGUAGUGGUGGGGGUUUUGAUGGUCAGUAAAUUAGAAGUGAGCCUCUUUCCCAUCGUACUGGCCUCUCUUUCCCUCUGUUGAAAAUCCUUUGUCGAGAGAGAAAGAAAGAUGGCAGAUUAGAGGAAGGCUGCAUUCCUAGUUGCUCUGUGGCUUGAGAUUCAAGCAGCAGGAGUACUGCUUCUCAGCAAGGUGGGAUUUCACUAAACUUCAUUAUUGGACAGUCAGAGCGUCUCAGAGGCUCAGAAAUUUGGGUGCAUGGAAUGUUGGAGCCAAGUCGGCCCUGCAGCAGCAACAGUGGCAGGGCCAUUGGUUCACCUCAGAGGGAACGGAGAACCCAGAAAGAAAUACAAUGGACAGAUUUGGCACGAAAACCUGAGAUCAGAAAAGCAGCCUGCACUUAGAGGAUCCAGAGGCUGCAUUGUGAACUGUUUGAAAAGUGCUGUUUCUCAACUGGCCAUGGAGAGUGGAGGUGGCAGCCAUCUUGAGGAGGCCAGGCUGCAGGAGCCGGGAGGUCACAGCAAACUCUGCCACACUGUCCCGGCAAGCACCUGCCAUGCGGCCUAGGAUGUACCUAGCAUAAUGUGAGUGAAACAGGCACAGAAAAGACUGUAUCCAGGUGGAUUCAAGUUGGUUAAGUGAAAGGGAGCCCAACUAGCUUUUCCUUUGAGUCUGGUGGCUCAUGUGACCAGCUGAAGUGGGUUGGGAAUCUGAACAGGCGGUUGUGAAUAUACUCAGAGGCUAACCCUGGAAGGACUGUGUCUGUGGGCAGCAGAGUGGGUAAAGGAUUGGCUCCCCUGCCCCACAGGUAGAAUUCUUGGGAGGCUCCUGAGAUUCAAACUCCUGCCAGAGAUCAGCAACUGCUGGGCUUAGGGGUGUGUUGAUUUAAUCUCUCCAGAGCAGAUACCACCCAACAAAACCCCUGAGGUCUGAUGAGACCUAAGCCUCAGUGGCCAGAACUUCUCCCACAGAACUCUGCAGCAGCCCCAUCUGGGAGUGCACACAUCUGGUCUGAGCAGAGCUCCACCUGACAGUAUUUCUCACUGCAUCUUACCUUAUACUGAUGGGAAGGGAAGCUGGGAAUUAUUUCAACCAGAUUCAGUCUGAACCAUUCCAACUGGCAACUCAGUAACACACAAAAAGAAAGAGGUUAACAACCCCCAGUCCCCUCCCCACUCAGUACAUAGUCCAUGGAAAGAACACUUGGGCAUAGGCAGUGACCAUCCAUUCUCAUCAAUUGUUUUGAACACUUCAGUAGAGACAAUUUCUUCAUUUUUCAUUAAGAAUCGUUCUUUAUUUUUUUUUCUUUCUUUCAUUUUUUUCCCACUUAAAUGUAGUUAUUUUUCCUUUCCAUGUCUUUUGUGGGUUAGGAUUUUUUGGUUUGUUUCAUUUGUUUGUUUCACUUGUUUCUAUUUCUCUUUUCUCCUGUUACCAGCCAAAUUCUCGUUUUCUCUUUUUCUCCCCUUUUCCUUUGUUUUUACUAUUUUCUCUUCCUUCCUUAUAAGCAUCACCUGCUAUAUCUCUUUUGCAUUCUCUGUUCAUUUUUUUAAAAUUGUAAACUCUCUUCUACCUUCCUACCACAUUCUCUUCUAAAUGAACUAUAUAUAUAUAUUUUUUUUUUACCAAUUUUUAAGGACUGGUUUAUAUAAUCCCUGCCCCCAACAUUCAUGCUAUUACAAUUAAUAUUGCUGUAGAUAACAUAGUUGACACCUCUUGUUUGCUUCAAUGCUAGAUCUAGUUCAUGGUUACUUAUUGUUUUUGCCGUUGGCAAUUGAUGACCUCACUAUGCCUAUGGUUUUUCUUUUCUUUCUUUCUUUGUGUGUGUGUGUGUGUGAUUGUGUGUGUGAAUUAAAUUGUAGAUAUUAUAAUAGGAACAAGGUGUUAAUUUUAAUGCUGUGGAUUGUUUGCAGUGGUUAUUGCUAUUGUUUGUUUCCCUCUAUUCUGUGAGAUACCGGGAACCUACAGGGACACUAUAAGUUCACAGGGGAGGGACUCUUCUGCUGAACUAAAAUCAACAUAAAGAUAGCAUACCUUGCUCCACACACAAAGUAAGACACUAAAACUCCAGCUAUACUUUAAUACGAAGAAUAGAAGAGACAAAAACUCAAACUAACAACCACGCCUAGAAUAAAAAGAGCUGGGGUGGGCCCUCAGUUCCACUCAUGGACAUCCACUGCUACAGCAAAAACAAUUAACACAAAGGCUGUGGCUAUCACACCAAUGAGGGGGUCUCAGUCUAGAUCACUCUAGACACUUUGGCAAGUGAAGGCUGUGCCCUAUAGAGACCCACACAUAAGAGUUGAAGAGGAAUCCAUUUCAACAGAUGCAUAAAACCAGCACAGGAACACAAGAAAUAUGAAAAGCAGGGUAACAAGGCAUCUCCCAAAGUUCAUAAUUCACCAGCAACUGACCCCCAAAAUAUAGAGGUGGAUGAAAUACCAGAUAAAUAAUUCAGAAGAACGAUUAUAAAAAUCAACAAAUUCUAAGAAAACACAGAAAGACAACUGAAUAAAUUAAGAAAGUCACUAGAGGAAGUGAAUGAUAAAUUCAUGACUACUAAUCUGGCCUUACAGAACUUACCUAAAGAAGUAUCUACUCAUGGCCUGGGUUUGUAGGUCAGUGGUGGAGCAAUUGCCUAGCAUGUGUGAGGCACUGGAUUCAAUCCUCAGCACCACAUAAAAAUAAAUAUAAUAGAGGUAUGUGACCAUCUAUAACUAAAAAUAUUUUUUUUUUUAAAAAGAAGUAUCUACCCAGAAGAAAUAAACAAACCCCAGGGUUCACAAAGGAAGAAAUCUCUUUUAAGAGUAGCUAAGCAAAUGAGAAACAGGACCAAAUUAAAGAUUAUCAAUACAUCAAAACGGCAGGAAUUCAUAAACAUCUCUCUAUAAUAAUAUUGAACAUAAAUGGUCUCAACUCUCCAAUUGAAAACAUAGGCUGGCAGAAUGGAUUGAAAAAUAAGACCCAACUGUAUGUCAUUUGCAAUAGAAGCCCCUUACAGGCAAAGAUAGACAAAGACUGAAAGUGAAAGGAUCAAAAUUGAUAUACCAUGUGAAUAGAGCCCAGAAACAAAAGGAGUACCUACUCUCAUAUCUGAUGAAGUAGACUUCAAACCAAAAUUAAUCCCAAGAGACAAGGUCACUUCAUAUUGGUAAAGAGAACAUUCUUCUUGUUGAAGAAGAUAUAAUAAUAAUAAACACUUAUGCCCCAGAUGUAGAUGCAACUAAUUACAUAAAAGAGACACUAUUCAAAUUGAAACCUCAGAUAGCUCCAGUACAAUUAAUUAUACUGGGUGAUUUGAAUACACCUCUCUCCCCAUUAGACAGGUCAUCCAGAAAUAAACUCAGUAAAGACUCUUGGUACCUGAAAAAUAUUAUAAAUCAAAUGGACCUAACAGGCUUCUGUAGAAUAUUUCAUCCAACAACAGCUGAAUAUACUUUCUUCUCAGUGGCUCAUGACACCUUCUUUAAAAUAGACCAGAUUCUAGGCCACAAAGCAACUCUUAGCAAAUACAAAAGAUUGAUACAAUUCCUUGCAUUUAUCAGAUCCUAAAGGAAUGAAAUUUGAAAUCAAUGUUAUAGUUAAAGCUUCAUCUCAGGGUUUCACAAACUGACUUCCAGACCACUCACGUAUAAUUGAAUCAAGCCUUUAUUGAAGCACACCAGUGGCGGCUGACCAGAACAUAAAGCUGUUCCCCUGAUCAGCCCUGAACAAUUGCAAGGGCACUCCUUAUAAGCCUGAAAACCGCAAAAGGGAUGUUCAGGGGGUCUAGCCAAUGCAAGCAAGCCAGGUUACAGAAGUGGGACAGUGCAGUCAAGCGGAGGGAAGCCUAACCAAUCACAGUUACCCCAGUCACCCCAGUUACAGAAACAGAGCCCCGUUACCCUAGUUACAGAAACAAUGCCUCAUUAGGUAGUUCCGUGUUCUUAAAGGUUUCUAUAGCAAAAGGAAAAGAACAUCUUGCUCCAGUCAUGACCCUUCUACUUGGCAUGGUUGUGUUACAGGAUGAAGUCAUAAAACAAAAUGGAGUCACAUUUGCUCCUACUAUCACAUCAACAUAACAAAACCCUACAGAAACUAUACAAGCACAUGGAGAUUGAACAAUACACAUUUGAAUGAUGAAUGGGUGAUAGAAGAAAUCAGGGAAGAAGAAAUUUCAAAAAUUCUUAGACUCAAACAAGAAAAGUGAUACAACAUACCAGAAACUCUGGGACACUAUGAAGGCAGUUCUAAGAGGAAAGUUUUUAUAUAUG